rnacentral:lncRNA from 1 species
CAAUUACAAAAGAAGAGUACAAACAUGCACAAAGAGUCUGGGAACAUUAUAAUUGUAAAACUUUAUUAGACUAUCAUAAUUUAUAUCUCAAAACAGAUGUUCUUAUCUUAGCCGAUGCAUUCGAAAAAUUUAGAAAAUUCUUUAUAAAAUAUCAUGAAAUAGACCCAUGUUAUUGUUAUUCUGCUCCAGGUUUAACAUGGCAAUGUGGAUUAAAAUAUACAGGAAUAAAAUUAGAAUUGUUGACUGAUGUUGAUAUGUUACAAAUGUUUGAGAAAGGAAUAAGAGGAGGAUUUUCUGGAGUAUUAGGUCCUAGACAUGUAAAAGCUUACAAUAAAUAUACUUCAAAUUAUGAUAAAGAUUAUAGAAUAAUAGAUGAACAUGAAAAAAAAAGAAUGUUUAAAAAGAUUAAAAAAAGGAAAAAACUUAAAUAAAUUUUUUGAAGAAAAAUUUUUGUUAUAUCUAGAUGCAAAUAAUUUAUAUGGUUGGGCAAUGUCACAAAAACUUCCUAC